rnacentral:rRNA from 1 species
UCUCAGUUCGGAUUGGAGUCUGCAACCCGACUCCAUGAAGCUGGAUUCGCUAGUAAUCGCGCAUCAGCCACGGCGCGGUGAAUACGUUCCCGGGCCUUGUACACACCGCCCGUCAAGCCAUGGAAGCCGGGAGUGCCUGAAGUACGCGACCGCAAGGAGCGUCCUAAGGUAAAACCGGUGACUGGGGCUAAGUCGUAACAAGGUAGC